UCAGGGCGCGCGCGGGCAGGCGUCACUUGCGGGGUUUUUUUUUUUUCUUUUUUCUUUUUUUUCGAGAAACUUGUUCUUGGAAAAAUCGUGUUUGAUUUCGGUUUCUAUUCCAGUUUGUGAUUAUGCCGUGAUUAUUAUUGACGUAGUGUUGUAUGCGAAACGCUCCGUGAUGGGUGCAAGGUACCCGGGCGGCAGGAGUCAUACCUGCGCUCGCAGCGGCGUGGUGAAAUGAGUUAGUUUCGUCCGUUAAUGACUUGAUAACGUUUUCCCAAAUAGAAGCACGCUGGGCAGUGUGCGUACGGCUGCUUCCAGAGAAGAUAUGAGCAAUCCUUAACUGGAAGGAGGGGGAGUAGGCGUGCGUGCAGAAGUGCCUAUUCUGCCAAAAGCUUAUAUUCUGAAACUUGGCGAUGCGGCAAAACCCCUCUUCUGAAAAGCCCAAAGGCUUUUUCAAGGAAGGCGUUAGUUUUCUACUUAGUCUUUUCCUGAAAACAUGAUAAAUACAUGGGUAUUCUAGGUACAAUGUGUGUAGUUCUUGUUUUGAUUAUAUGCAAGUGUUUAAUUCUGCUGAAUCUGUGGCAUGUUGCUCAAACUGCAACGAGCCUGGAAUAAACCUAGUAUUUCUGUUACGCUUAAAUAAAAGGUUCAAGAUCACUUUCACCCCUGAGGUGUUCUUCUGAACGUUAGCUUUAUUUUUAUAUGCAUUCCUUUACAACUUAUGUGAGGUAACUAGGCUGAGCAUGAAAACUAUCUCUGUAAAACUGUGUUUACUUUUCAGAUGGAAGAACAAAUUGAAUUCACUGUUUGUAUUUAUCAAAUAAUGCUGUGCUGCUUGUAUUCUCACUUCAGAAGUUGCCUUGCUCUGCCCAAGUUAUGAUGUGUCCGCUAAAUGGUGGCAGUGUAGAAGCCAAGAACAAAAAUUGGCAGAAAUCCUUUUCUGUGUAUGAGAAAAUGAAGAGAGUGUACUCAUGACUAAGCACAGGAACCUGAAAAACCACAGUACUAUUUUUGGGUUCUGAAGAAUUGGAAGCAUGAGGAGAAUUACAGAGAUGAAAUUAAGAAGAUGCCAUUUCAAAUAACUGUCUAGUUAUGGAGCACAUGUGACAUUAAGGAAAAUAAAGCUGUAAGAUGGAAGCGUUUUAUAACACUGAUUCAAAUAUAAAAUAAAUAUGUAAAAAUAAGCAGUAUAUAAUCAGAGCUCGUGAUUAGCCCUUUUGUAUUUCAAAGCAAAGGGAAAUACACUACUUAGUGAUUAAUUUUUCUCAUUAAUUAACAGCGUUAGCUUAAGGCAAAUACUUUAUUGUAUGCUUACUUCAUUGUGCAGAGCCUACAGAAAUUAGUCCAUAGGCCCACAUUCCAGGAUUCCUGGGAAGGCAUGGAGGACAGGACAGAAACUCAGAGCUAGAGCUUGAGGGUUUUUUUAGGAAUUGUGUGAAUGGGAAGCUUAUCCUAGUAAGAAGUGUCAAAAGGCAACUGCCACUGUUUUUAUUAAUAUAUUUCUCUUUUUGCAUUCCUAUUCCAGUCUAAGAAGGCAUUUUGUCUAAACCUUUAAAUUGCUUCUUGAGGAACAUAGUUAAACCACAAGUGUUCACAAAUGACCAAGUUGGCUUAUGUCAGCUGCCCUGCAGUAACCCAACUCGGGCACAUUUUUACUUAGCCCUGGUUGGAAAGUAAAGCACAUCUGCGGAUAGAAUGAUUCAUUUCAAUUAUGAUAUAUGCUCUUAGCCCAUUCUAUUAGGUACAACGAGUCAGCUGAUUAUAGAAUGUCGAGCACCUGCAUUACUAUAAUCUAACAGUUUAUGGGUAAUCUAAGUCAUUUUUUUCCCCUUCCUAUUAGAAAACGUUCAGGGAAUGCAUUUGAGCUAUAGCUUCCUGGGGUCUCAAACCCUGGAACUGUAAGCUGUCUGGAUAGCAACUGUCUCUCUAUUAGUGAGUAGUAAGACUCUAAUCUGUGAGUGGGGCUUGCAUGUGUGCUUUCAUGAUACGCUGUGCUUUGCGUAGAAUAUCCCAAGAAACUAUCACAGUUUCUAAAGUGAAUUUUAAAAAAAUAGAAAUGAGUAAGCCUAGACUUUGGGAGCUCUUCUGCCAAGAAGAGUUCUUCUAACCAUCCUUGCCAGGCUAUCAGGUUGUUAUUCACCACCUGUUAUUUCUGAGUGGGGACCUGCUUAAGUAUAGCUGGGCAAGAGGAAAGAAGCGGUGAUAAGCUGAAUAAGGUCUGUAUGGCUAUGUAGCAUGUCUUGUUUUUUAUUUUUUUAUUGCAUAUUGAGGAAAGCAGUUAAAUAUACUCAAAAUUUAUGUGAAUAGCCCUGUUCAAAUCAGUUGAACUGCUUGCAUAGUUCAGGUCAGCAUAUGCUUAUGGCUUUGAAUGUUGAGUUCAUUAGUUUGUGAUAACAUAAUUAGAACAGAAAAUGAAAAUGCCGUGUGUCAUUGGCACAAAAUUUUAGUGGGGUCUUCAUUACAUCAAGUAUUCACCAAAAUAUUAAAUAAAAAGAAACUAGUAACUAAGCAGUGUGAUACUCGAGAGUUCAAUCCACAGACAUUUCUCUGUGCUAAUUAUGAAGCAUUGACAUGAAUGAAUGAAAGUACUUGUUGAAGUGCCUUUUGCAGUGUAUAACAGUUAUGCGUUCACGAGACGAUUCAUAGCAUUCAGCAAUUUGUGAUGAGUUUCCCUGCCAUUACUGGAGAUUACUAAGUAUCUAAUGUAUUUGCACUACACUGGGUUACUUUAAAUUAGAUUUGAUAGUGGAAAGGAGAACAAUUUUCUGUCAACUGAAAAUCAGGCCUGUACUACAAAUCAACUAUUCAGUAUUAAGUUGUACUGUAUAAUAAAGAAGUUUCUUUUAAAAUACAAAUGUUUAAUCAUCUUGUCUAUGAAGAUAGCAACAGUGGUGGUGGUUGCAAAAAUGAUUUCUUUUGUUUCUGAAAGUUAUGUGCAUUAUAACUAAUAUAGCAGAUGACAUAAUUGAAAGUAGAAUUCAUAGUGAGAAAUCUGAACUGGAAAUCUGAUUAUGUAAGAACUCAUUUUGAAACAGCAAGUCUUGGUUACAUAAAUACAUCCUGCAUCAAAUUAAGUGGUAUUCUAAGUAUUGUCCUCAUUAAAAGUACAACAGAGGCUGUAUCUUGGCUGAAAACUGUCCUGAGAUUCCAUUUUGAUGUGUUCUGUUGUCCUAAGAUAACCGCGUUUAAGGGUGCAUACAACUGGUUGUUUUGCACUCUCCUGAAGAGGAAUGUAAUCUUUUAGACUAUACCUGUUGGACAAUCCUACUUUAUCAAAAUGUAUAUUAUCUGUAAAUGACAUGUUUUACACAGGAAAAAUAAACUUUCUCUCUUUAGUA